AGAGUUAAAUAGUACGUGAAAUUGUUAUAAGGGAAACGAUUGAAAUCAGUGGUGCUGCUAUGAAAUCAGCUUGCUGGUGCUCAAAGUCUGUAGUGGAAGAGCUUUACGGCCUUUGCUGCGAAUAGAGAGUAUUGGUGGGUGCACUUUUGUAGUAAGCUGGUCAACGUCAGUUUCGGUUGGUGGAAAAGACUUGCAUGAAGGUAGCUUGCCUUUCGGGGUGAGUGUUAUAGCUUGCUUGGGAUACACUGACUGGGACUGAGGACUGCAGUGCGACCCGCAAGGGAUUGCGUUAUCUGGACCGUUGGGAUUUGUUGAGUUAGACAGCUUGCUGACUGGCCUGACAGGUUUUGACAUGCUCUGGCCGUAACGACUAACGCACUAAGGAUGUUGACAAAAUGGUUUUAAACGACC
rnacentral:rRNA from 1 species